CUUCUGCAGCUUAGACCUCUGUGCAUCCCGAGAGAUACACAAUAUUGUAGACCCUCCCGACUUUUCCUUUGUUGACAUACUCUUAAUAUCGCGGAGGCACAGUUGCAUCGUCAAAAACUGAGAAGGUACUCCUCGACUUACAACCUAUUGCUUAGUGACCAUUCAAAGUCAUGAUGGAUCUCGCAAAAGGUAAACUGGAAGUUAAUGAACUCACCGGAUCCAUAUAACAAGGCAAUGCUUUUGCAAGGAGCGCUUCAGUGCAGCUGCUCACCUCUG